rnacentral:rRNA from 1 species
GUGAGCGGCAAAAGCUCAAAUUUGAAAUCCUCAGGGAAUUGUAAUUUGAAGGUGGUCUCAGUUAGUUCAAACAUUCUUAAGUCCAUUGGAAAAUGGCGCCAUGGAGGGUGAUAGCCCCGUAAAGAAUUCGUUUGGUUCUUUUUCUCUUUGCCCCCCAAAGACUAGAGGUGUGUGAAAGUGCCUCUCUAAGGGGGGGGAAUUUUCCCUCUAAAGCUAAAUAGUGGAGAGAGACCGAUCGAAAACAAGCACAGAGGUGGAAAGAUGAAAAGCUCUUUGAAAAGAGAGAGAAAAAGUACGUGAAAUUGUAGAAGGGGAAGGUUUUGCACGCACACACCCCCUUUUUGGGGGCACCAUCAUCGGGACGAGGAGAAAAAAAAAAAAAAAGGAAAUGUUCUUCUCGAUUAUUAAACACCUCUUCCAUAUCUUCCUUCUCAUCCCGAGUGCGGAUUAUUUCCUCCUAUGAUGCUGGAAUGGUGGUUGCAAGCCCCCCUUCUUGA